UACGUAGGGAUGCGAGCGUUAAUCGGAAUUACUGGGCGUAAAGCGUGCGCAGGCGGUGAUGUAAGACCGAUGUGAAAUCCCCGGGCUUAACCUGGGAACUGCAUUGGUGACUGCAUCGCUCGAGUAUGGCAGAGGGGGGUAGAAUUCCACGUGUAGCAGUGAAAUGCGUAGAGAUGUGGAGGAAUACCGAUGGCGAAGGCAGCCCCCUGGGUUAACACUGACGCUCAGGCACGAAAGCGUGGGGAGCAAACAGG
rnacentral:rRNA from 1 species